AUUGAACGCUGGCGGCAGGCCUAACACAUGCAAGUCGAGCGGUAGAGAGAAGCUUGCUUCUCUUGAGAGCGGCGGACGGGUGAGUAAUACCUAGGAAUCUGCCUGAUAGUGGGGGAUAACGUUCGGAAACGGACGCUAAUACCGCAUACGUCCUACGGGAGAAAGCAGGGGACCUUCGGGCCUUGCGCUAUCAGAUGAGCCUAGGUCGGAUUAGCUAGUUGGUGAGGUAAUGGCUCACCAAGGCUACGAUCCGUAACUGGUCUGAGAGGAUGAUCAGUCACACUGGAACUGAGACACGGUCCAGACUCCUACGGGAGGCAGCAGUGGGGAAUAUUGGACAAUGGGCGAAAGCCUGAUCCAGCCAUGCCGCGUGUGUGAAGAAGGUCUUCGGAUUGUAAAGCACUUUAAGUUGGGAGGAAGGGCAGUUACCUAAUACGUGAUUGUCUUGACGUUACCGACAGAAUAAGCACCGGCUAACUCUGUGCCAGCAGCCGCGGUAAUACGGAGGGUGCAAGCGUUAAUCGGAAUUACUGGGCGUAAAGCGCGCGUAGGUGGUUUGUUAAGUUGAAUGUGAAAUCCCCGGGCUCAACCUGGGAACUGCAUCCAAAACUGGCAAGCUAGAGUAUGGUAGAGGGUAGUGGAAUUUCCUGUGUAGCGGUGAAAUGCGUAGAUAUAGGAAGGAACACCAGUGGCGAAGGCGACUACCUGGACUGAUACUGACACUGAGGUGCGAAAGCGUGGGGAGCAAACAGG
rnacentral:rRNA from 1 species